rnacentral:rRNA from 1 species
UACGUAGGGUGCGAGCGUUAAUCGGAAUUACUGGGCGUAAAGCGUGCGCAGGCGGUUUUGUAAGCCAGAUGUGAAAGCCCCGGGCUUAACCUGGGAAUGGCAUUUGGGACUGCAAGGCUUGAGUGCGGCAGAGGAGACUGGAAUUCCUGGUGUAGCAGUGAAAUGCGUAGAUAUCAGGAGGAAUACCGAUGGCGGAGGCAGGUCUCUGGGCUGACACUGACGCUGAGGAGCGAAAGCGUGGGGAGCAAACAGG